GGCCGCGUGGCGCAGGCCGGGGAUCGGCCGCCGCUGGUAGCGGUGGAGGACCCCGUCGAGAGCGGUGAACGCGGCGUCCCAACCGCCACGGGGCCGCC
rnacentral:tRNA from 1 species